rnacentral:rRNA from 1 species
UUUUUGGAGAGUUUGAUCUUGGCUCAGGACGAACGCUGGCGGCGUGCCUAAUACAUGCAAGUCGAGCGAGUGAAAUUAAUUGAUCCCUUCGGGGUGACGUUAAUGAAUCUAGCGGCGGACGGGUGAGUAACACGUGGGCAACCUGCCUGUAAGACUGGGAUAACUCGCGGAAACGCGAGCUAAUACCGGAUAACACUUCGAACCACAUGGUUUGAAGAUGAAAGACGGCGCAAGCUGUCACUUACAGAUGGGCCCGCGGCGCAUUAGCUAGUUGGUGAGGUAACGGCUCACCAAGGCGACGAUGCGUAGCCGACCUGAGAGGGUGAUCGGCCACACUGGGACUG